UACGUAGGGGGCAAGCGUUGUCCGGAUUUAUUGGGUUUAAAGGGUGCGUAGGCGGUUUUUUAAGUCAGUGGUGAAAUACGGCAGCUCAACUGUCAAGGUGCCAUUGAUACUGGGAAACUUGAGUACUGAUGAGGUAGGCGGAAUGGACGGUGUAGCGGAUGAAAUGCUUAGAUAUCGUCCAGAACACCGAUAGCGAAGGCAGCUUACUAAGGAGUAACUGACGCUGAGGCACGAAAGUGUGGGAUCAAACAGG
rnacentral:rRNA from 1 species